UACGUAGGGCGCAAGCGUUGUCCGGAAUUAUUGGGCGUAAAGAGCUCGUAGGUGGCUUGUUGCGUCUGCCGUGAAAGCCCGUGGCUUAACUACGGGUCUGCGGUGGAUACGGGCAGGCUAGAGGCUGGUAGGGGCAAGCGGAAUUCCUGGUGUAGCGGUGAAAUGCGCAGAUAUCAGGAGGAACACCGGUGGCGAAGGCGGCUUGCUGGGCCAGUUCUGACGCUGAGGCACGAAAGCCAGGGGAGCAAACGGG
rnacentral:rRNA from 1 species